rnacentral:rRNA from 1 species
AGUGAACGCUGGCGGCAGGCCUAACACAUGCAAGUCGAACGGCAGCACAGUAAGAGCUUGCUCUUACGGGUGGCGAGUGGCGGACGGGUGAGGAAUACAUCGGAAUCUACUUUUUCGUGGGGGAUAACGUAGGGAAACUUACGCUAAUACCGCAUACGACCUACGGGUGAAAGCAGGGGAUCUUCGGACCUUGCGCGAUUGAAUGAGCCGAUGUCGGAUUAGCUAGUUGGCGGGGUAAAGGCCCACCAAGGCGACGAUCCGUAGCUGGUCUGAGAGGAUGAUCAGCCACACUGGAACUGAGACACGGUCCAGACUCCUACGGGAGGCAGCAGUGGGGAAUAUUGGACAAUGGGCGCAAACCUGAUCCAGCCAUACCGCGUGGGUGAAGAAGGCCUUCGGGUUGUAAAGCCCUUUUGUUGGGAAAGAAAAGCAGCAGGUUAAUACCCCGCUGUUCUGACGGUACCCAGAGAAUAAGCACCGGCUAACUUCGUG